AGGAUUAGUGCUUUUGGUGAUCCAAUUUGGCAAGAACACGAAGAAGGCUGAGUUGGUGAUGGCCCCUUAUGAGAGUGGCACUGGUAACGGGAAGCUUCUAUGACGUUGAAGAGGCUGCUGAGCAACCCACAGCUGCCUCCUCUCUUCCUCCCAAUCGGAAUGGAGCGGCAGCAAGCUGGGUAGGACGGCCCCUCAAGUGAAGAACCGGUUGGAAGCGGCGACAGCUCCCGCUGUUGGAAGCGACGGGGGUGACUGGACGCGGCCGAGCGGCAGCAUGGGCUGCAGGGAAUGGUGGCUGGGGAACACACUAACGGGUCCAUGGGGCAGGUCGCAGGCUCGCAUCCAGCCUCGAAUUCAUGGGAGCCCUGCUCCAGCGUGAAGGGCAGGAUUGGAUACAACAUGGUCAUUUAGGAUGGCGUCAACACGGAGAGUGGUGGCAGCGCGACGCCUCGAGCUCGAGAAGUCGUCCAUAGCUGGCCUGGGAUCGAGAUCUGGUAGACCGCUCGGCCCCGGCAAUGUCCACGGCGCUGCGAACCCCGGUCGGAACACAUCAGCCUGUUCUCAUUUAACUCCCCUCGCUGGUUGAGCUUCUCUUUAUCAUUUCAUCCUGAUUUUUUUUACUCAAAUAUGUCUUGUUUUGGAUGAUUGCUGGGCCGAAUAUAACAGGGAUCAUAAGGUGUGGGGAUAAACUUGACACAAAUCAAUUGCUUAUAUCAUUUUGAGUAGAGAGCAAAUGUGAAAAUAUAUUUUUACAGGAUUCAAUAAAUCCAUUUAUUCUUGCUAUACAUCAAUAGAUUCAUGUUAACUGCUACGUUGUGCAAAAUAAAUCAUGUGCGUGUGCGUGCACGUGCAUAAAUCUGCUCUCCUGAAAGUGAUGAAAUAUCUUUUUUUUCUUGCAGCCUUCCGUGAUUACCAGGAUUUUGAACUCAUAAAGCUUCUUUGCAUAUUCGUUAUGAUUUUUGUGGUGUGGCGAGAAUGGGUAUUUUACGAGUACGAGCCAAAGUUGUGCAGGAUACUUUAGAACGGAACUAGGACAUCAACUGUCAAGUGGUUUGGUGCUAAGGGUGACUACAAUGUUCUUGUUAUGUCCGUGUUGGGGCCAAGCCUGGAAGACCUUUUCAGCUCUUGCAACAGAAAACUGUGACUCAAAACUUUUGUUAUGCUUGCUGAUCAACUGGUAUGCUCUACAACUAAGCUUAGUUAUUCUUUGCCAUUUUGUUUUUAUUUGUUAAAUUGCAGAGAGAGCGGUCAUUUAGCCUGGACAGCUUGAUGUGAGGGUGUAACUGCUUGCUUCUCUCCCAAAUAAGUUUCCUGAAGAUUUGUUAGUUGUGCAUUUACAGAUUUAUUUCUAGGCCUCCAGGGUAUCAUGUUGUUGUACGAGCAGGUGAUUCUGAAAGUACUGCACCCGAAUGUUCCUCCAUGAAUGGAUUUUAGCUGAUGCUUUUGUUGUGUAUGGAGAAGUUUUGAAGUUUAUGUAGGCCUUUUGUACACUUAGGCACAAUGUUCAGACAUGUGCUACUGAUUUCAAAGUAGAAAUAAACGUUUGCUUAAUUACAUACUUGCUUAUGGAACCUAGCUUUACAUAUGUAAGGCUACUCCUGUGUAACUUGGGCCUCUAUGUGGUU